AUCUACUGCCAUACAACCCUGAAUGCUCCUGAUCUCAUCUGAUCUUGUGAAGCUAAUCAGGGUCGGGCCUGGUUAGCACUUGAGUGGGAGACCUCCUGGGAAUAUCAGGUGCUGUGGGCU
ensembl:rRNA 5S_rRNA 5S ribosomal RNA